rnacentral:lncRNA from 1 species
CCCGGAGUGACCAACACAGGCGGUCUUGAACGUCGCCGACAGUACUCAAUCUCCAUUCUCCUCUAGAACCGAAGCACUGAAUAACUCACUUUAAUUGCGGAGCAGAAGAAACACCCUAGGCGAAAGCUCUCGUAGACACCAUUGAUUCAGGAUCGGAGACAGGUGAUCAGUACUUCUGGCAGGAUAAGGUACUGUUUCGGAAGUAUCGACCAAGAACACCCAGACUCCAGAGAAGGGAACGAGGCCGAACGCUUGUUGUAGUUUGGCCCAGAACUGCACGUCUGGUGGCGGGAUAUGAGCCAAUCAGAGUCGCCGACCGAGAAACCAAGCGCACCGAUCAAUUUGGGCAGUCAGUACUCCACUCCGUCCAGUGACAGAAGCAUAAGGAACUAGGCUUGUGGUCCAUUUAUACAAAAGGCCGAGAAAGUGCUCCACCCCGACAAGCAGUGUGUUGGCUCGGCGUUUGAGGGAGUAGGGCGACUGAUAGAUGAAAGGAUGAGCGGUCAAUGUUGACGAGGAAGGUAUGAUACGAGCGGACCUGCAGAUUAAUUCAACAGAGAAGAAUUAAAUGCCAGUCAAAGAAUAGAUAUUCAAUGGACUUGGUUGGCCUUAUGUGAGGCAGAUUCUGGCUCUUGCAGUAGAUUAUAAAUGAGUCUUAAGAGGCCUGGUGCAUUGCGGAAAGGAAGCAUCAACAUUGGCGCCCUCUUGUCUGACUCGUAUAUUCCCCAUGAAGCUGUUUAUCAUCCAUGGACGAUGUUAGUUGAAGCUUACUCUGGUCUAUGGACUUUCUUAGAAGGAAACGAGGCCGACGACAGUUGUUUGGCCCAGGACUGCACGCUUGGUGGCGGGAAAUGAGAGCCAAUCAGUCGCCGACCGGGACAAGAGCACGAAUAAAUGUGGACAGUCUGUGCUCAGUCCAGCGACAGAAACAGUGCUCGGCUCGCUGUGCACAGACAAGUGCUUCGCUCAGUCCAGGGACAUAAACAUAAAUACGAUCACCACAGCAAGCUGUGUAUUAGUUCGGCGUUUGGAAGAGUCGUCUGAGGGAGACGCGUGGAAUUUGUCGACCUUGGAUGGGAAGACGACUUAAAAUUCAUUACGUGGGCAACAGCGGUGGAUGCUGCAGAAAUAGUGAUUCGGUCUCUAUUGGUGCGAUAUGAUACUGACUGGUGACGGCAGUGGAUUGACAUCUGCAAAUAUACAUAAAACUAAAUAUAUAUAUAUAAUUUUUGUUAAAGAAUAUAGUUGAGGUAGUUUGUCUUGGUAAUCAUUUCCCCCGAAGAUUUGAGGAAAUUUAUAAAGUGAAUUAAUGUAUAAUGACUUGUAGUAAAUAUAUAACUUUGGAAAUAGAACAUUUUCUGUAUUUAACUGACAUUGUAAUUAUAAGGUGUGAAGGAUAGAUGAAAUUGUUAAUGUAAUGUCCAUUGAGGUUUGUUGAAGACCUGUUGUGCCUUCUGUGAUCCUUUUUGCGCUACCGCUCACAGGAUGAGCAUGGGGUGCACAAUAAACUAGCGUCCCCCGGCGGCAACAGUGCUGCCCAUCCUGACUGUGUUUACCUGACGAGAACUGUUCCUGACCAGUACACACGAGACCUCGUAGGUUUUAAGUAGUAUAAUUAACAUGUAGACAAAUGUUGGAGAUUUACCACAACAAGUGGUUAUAUACCAAUAAAAGUAAAUAUUCUUACAAACUUUUGAAUUUGGGGAAUGAAAGUCACAUACAAUCUAUGGGCUCCAGAAAUUUUGCCCAACAUUCCAGUGUAUAAACUAGUCACUGUUUAAACGUACCUAUUAUGUUUAAUAGGCACUUUACGUUUAAUACAUAGGUAGUACCUUCAUGAACUAUUUUUUCCUCAACAUUAGCCAUUUCGAUAAAACCAUCAGAACAUCUCAAACACAUUUAUUCUUCAUAUCCUGUAGAUAUUCUUCAUAUAAUGAACUACUGUUUCCCCGACCUCGCUACUAAUAGGCAUGGUAAGGGAUAGUUCCAAGAGUUUUAAAGUAUUUUUUUUUUGUUGCAGGUUGCGGCAUUGAGGAAAUAGCUGGCGAUUUGUUGAUUCGUCAUCAUUCAUGAAGUGACGUAAGAAGUCAAUCGGCGAUGAAGAUGGUCCAAUUUUUCUUGGCAGAAAUUGUUCAAUGUGAAAGAAAUUUAGAUAGCUAAUCUUAAUUAGUUGAAUGGUACUUGUAAAUAAAUCUUGUAUGAGGAUCAACAUCUUGCUACUAAUAAAGUAAAUACGUGGUACAUGUAUUGAAGGUAUUAGAUGUAUUGUCUAAAAUCAGAGUUAGCUUUUUCACUUUACGUACAUGUAAAAAGUAUUUAUUUUGCCCUAUAUUAAGUUUCUUGCCAUGAUGACUUUUGAUAAUACUUUAUUUACCCUGCAAUGGUCAAUAUUGAAAUGUCUCAAGUGUUAAAUUACUAAAAUGUGUGAUGUUUUAAGUAUGGUAGGCACAGUGUAAACAGUGGUUGUUACCAGUAAUUAUAAUUCAAUUCUGGGGCCCCUCUAAUAUUUGAGAGGGCUCCUUGGUGCUGCGUAUUGGAAAGCGCUCGUAUUAGCAUUCUUGGUGAUAUUUAGCGCCCUUUGAUUAUCCCGCACAUUUGAUGGUGCUACAUAGCCUUCCCGGUUUAGUGCCUUCUUUUGAUAAUUGCCUUACCUUCAGGUAGUACAUUGACCUACAUACAAGUA